rnacentral:rRNA from 1 species
CCUACGGGAGGCAGCAGUAGGGAAUCUUCCACAAUGGACGAAAGUCUGAUGGAGCAACGCCGCGUGAGUGAAGAAGGAUUUCGGUUCGUAAAACUCUGUUGCAAGGGAAGAACAAGUAGCGUAGUAACUGGCGCUACCUUGACGGUACCUUGUUAGAAGGCCACGGCUAACUACGUGCCAGCAGCCGCGGUAAUACGUAGGUGGCAAGCGUUGUCCGGAAUUAUUGGGCGUAAAGCGCGCGCAGGUGGUUCCUUAAGUCUGAUGUGAAAGCCCCCGGCUCAACCGGGGAGGGUCAUUGGAAACUGGGGAACUUGAGUGCAGAAGAGGAUAGUGGAAUUCCAAGUGUAGCGGUGAAAUGCGUAGAGAUUUGGAGGAACACCAGUGGCGAAGGCGACUGUCUGGUCUGUAACUGACACUGAGGCGCGAAAGCGUGGGGAGCAAACAGGAUUAGAUACCCUGGUAGUCCACGCCGUAAACGAUGAGUGCUAAGUGUUGGGGGGUUUCCGCCCCUCAGUGCUGCAGCUAACGCAUUAAGCACUCCGCCUGGGGAGUACGGUCGCAAGACUGAAACUCAAAUGAAUUGACGGGG